UACAGAGGGUGCUAGCGUUGUUCGGAAUCAUUGGGCGUAAAGGGCGUGUAGGCGGUUUGUUAAGUCAUGUGUGAAAGCCCCCGGCUCAACCGGGGAACGACGCAUGAAACUGGCAAGCUAGAGUACCGAAGAGGGGGGUGGAAUUCCCGGUGUAGCGGUGAAAUGCGUAGAUAUCGAGAGGAACACCUGCGGCGAAGGCGGGUUGCUGGGCUGACACUGACGCUGAAACGCGAAAGCUAGGGGAGCGAACGGG
rnacentral:rRNA from 1 species